CACAGGAGGCCUGGAACCGCCGCACCUGGAGGUGUUGGAAGGACGCGUGGAUGUGGCAUUUUGGGACAUGGUUUAGUGGUGGGCUUGGCAGUGCUGGAUUAAUGUUUUCAUUGAAUGACUUCAGUGAUCUUAGAGGUAUUUUCCAGCCUUAAUACCUCUUUGAUUGAAAGUGUGGUUCUUCCCUGUCUGAAGCGCUCUUCCACAAUUGUGCUUCUCUCUGUCCGCAGCUAGAAAAAAAGCCUUAUGGAAAGAAAUGCUUAACCAAAAUGCUUAACCGUGGAGCUCCUUUUAUACACGUGUCUUCAUUUCCCACUUGAGCACUGAUGCUUUUGCACGCUCCCUGGGGGUUUCCACACCAAAAACUUGGAACUAACAACUCAAAAAGCAGUCUUGUCUUGGUAUAUACUGGGUUCUUUCUCCUCUGCCUAAGGAACUCAUACCAGUAGUGAAACCAUAUUGUCCUGCAUACUUGGAGGAGACUUGAUGAAGGGCAAUCCAAACAAGAGCUGGCUUGCAUUCACAGGUCUUUUACAGAGUGUGUGAGGCUCAUGAGGGAGUGCAUUUACCAGUGACAACUUUUAACCGUGGACACAUCCUCACGUACGUUGUGCAAGAGAUGAGAAAUCUGUGUAAACAGAUGAACACAAUUUUCUUAUUCAUAGCAGUUGCAGAGUUAUCAUGAAAGAGGCAAACAUUUCAUAUUUUCCACCAGUUUUCCAUAUGUCUGAUGUCAUAAUGGCUUCACCAGAAGCUGCAAUGCAUUGGAGAAAGGAUUUAUCACAGCUACGUUUAUUUUCCUCUACUUCAUGGCUUCAGCAUUCAUGGAGAGAUUGUUUGGCUUCAAGAGGAGGAUUCACUUGCCUUUCCACUUGUGGUCCAGUAUUGCUAUUGAAUCUCCUGUUUGGAGACAGAGGAGAAGACAUUAUUGGGAUCUAAGGGGGAAGGCACAACAGAGAAGUCCUUUCACACAUCAGGGAUGAGGAGGAUGUGAAACUGGCCCCAGCCUCCCAACAUCCCUGGGGAACUCUACUCAUCUGGGAGUGGGAGUGAACUGCAAGUGCAUGUCUUGGACCAGCUGCUAAUGCUAAAGUGAUGCAGAAGUCAAAUGAGCCUGGGAUGUCCCCACAGCAAUUAACAGAUUACUCAAUGACUGAGGAAUUACUUUAAAUCUGCCAUGGGCCACACCCAUUGAGAAUAAUUGUGCUUUGCCAGCGGGAGAAAGUAUCUGCCACCAAGCAAACCUAGCUUGUUGUAAGAGCUUGUGAAAAGCUGGAGCAUCCUCACAUGGCUGGUCAGGACAGCACAGGACUUACUGAAAUCCCACAGCUUUCUGAAACACCAGUUAUUGUGCUGCUGUGGGGCACCCAGUGUGGCAAUAAUCAAAUGCUGAUGGGUACCUUUUCUAACACACUAUCUCAGCCUCUCUUCUUCCCCUCUGAUGAUCAUUCACUCAUAGGAAACUGCCCUUUAAAUGAUCUUUCCUUGUCCAUGGACCUCAGAGGCUCUGAAACACUAAUUGCUGUAUUGUAUUGGUGUGUACUGACCAAAUUUAUAUUUAUGGGUGAGGGGGAAAAAAAAUCCAAACAACAAAGAAAAAAAAGAGCCUGGCAGGCCAGGACCAGUGUGUUAACCAGCACUUCUUAAUGUCUGGCCUCCACUGAUGAAUUUGUAACCUCUGGUUUGCGAGAGGUUCUGAUCCAGUCUGCCUCCAGUGGAUCGCCAGAUAGACUUAUCACCAGAAAUAGGACCUGUGACAAAUAGUGCAGGUUUCCUUUACACAGUCAGUCAUCUCUGCCUAAGGGAUAAACUGCAGCUCUGGGGAGUGACAAAUAUGAAGGACAUAAAUGUGCCAUCACAGCCUUAGGUAAAUAGGUUUCAGCAAUGUCUUCCUGAGAUAUUUAAGAGCUCAUAGAAGAUCUGGAAGAGUGCAUCCAUCUCUGCACUGAGCGUAAGAAAGUGUUCCUGCUGGCCAAAGCUUUCCCUUCUGGUGGACAGCAAGAGUCUAGAUGUGUGAGAUGGAAGACAAAUUAAUGUGCUCCAUCUUCAAAUGCGAGUUCUAGAUAAGAGAUCUCACUUGAAAGGUUGCUCUGUCUGAUGUGGAGAACUUUGAUCCAAGUUUCUCCCAAGGAUCUGAUUGUCCCAACAAGAGCAAACCCCAAGUGAGCAUUGCUUUGCUUUAUUUUUGAGGAUUCUAGUUUGACUAGUGGAAGAAACAUGAGAUCAGUUGCCUGUGUGAUGUUUUCCACCCAUCAGGAAAGGGAGAAACUAUCACAUGGUUCAUCUUUGGUACUCAGACCCUGCAGCCAAGUUCUUGGCUGAGGUAAAUUUAUGGCAGUAAAAGAAUCAGCUCAUUGUUUCAAAUUAUCCUCUUUGGAGUUUCUCUAUUGCUCAACAUUGUCUUGUACUCUAGAAACUCUGGGAUUUAAAACAAAAAGAAGUCAUUACUGGUACUAUUUUCUGUGCCUCUCAGGCUGUGCAGCUGGGUUGCCUUAGUUACCACCAAUCCAACUGUGCAAGGGGAGGGAGAGGAGAGGCACAUGAGAGAUAAUACAUUUUUAAAACCUCCAAUACUGUAUGAAACAGUUUGUCUAUAAAUAAUAAAAUGAAUUUAGGGUCUGGCAUCCUGAAAAGGAAAAAAAAGGUUAUAUUAUUCUACAGCCUAGAUUUUCCAGCUCUCAGAAAGGAUAUUGCAUCUUUUCAGUCGAGCACAGGACGUAGAUUUAACACUUACUUGCUUGAAGCUGGAAGCUGCCAUCUACAGACUUUGGAAUAAGUUUGAACUAAAUAUUCCUUUAAGUGUGAAAAAGAGUAAAUAUUUAUGUAGCUGGUUUUGGGAAAACUAAUAAUUGCUUGGAGUUAUAAGGGAGUGUGGAAGAGCCCAUAUGAAGCAUGGUGUGCUGUGGAACAAGAUUCAUUAGCAGCCUAUGGUCUGCCACGGGAUGUAAGUCCAGGAGGGAGCCAGGCUUUGCCACUCUGGUGGAGCUGUUUGUUACUUGCUUCUUGCACCUUGGAAUAAACACCUCUGGGCAACCAUUCUUCAUUCGAGUGGGAAAGAAAUAAAAAGAAGCAACGGCCUCAUUUUUUUUUUUCUUUGGGGAGAAUCCUGGUGCCAGCAGCCCAGCCAGAGAGCUCUGCCUUGUCAGAUCCCACCAGCGUCAGGUCUAAUUUUUUGGUGGCUUCAGGUGUUAUCACACAAGGUGUUUUCAGAUGUGCCUAUGGGAACCCAGUAGAUAUCUGUAUUAACCUGUAACCCAAACUGCCUUUGGGGAAUGAAGAGGAAGCAAAAGAGAGAUCAAAAGUGCCCUUCCAUGUACUUUAUCUUUUGAGGGAGAGAGGAGAUAGGCAGAGUGGAGAGUAUGGAAAGAUGAAGAGGUCUGUCCUCUACCACCACUGAUGUUUUGCUGUUUUU